UACGAAGGGGGCUAGCGUUGCUCGGAAUCACUGGGCGUAAAGCGCACGUAGGCGGAUCUUUAAGUCAGGGGUGAAAUCCUGGAGCUCAACUCCAGAACUGCCUUUGAUACUGGGGAUCUCGAGUCCGGGAGAGGUGAGUGGAACUGCGAGUGUAGAGGUGAAAUUCGUAGAUAUUCGCAAGAACACCAGUGGCGAAGGCGGCUCACUGGCCCGGUACUGACGCUGAUGUGCGAAAGCGUGGGGAGCAAACAGG
rnacentral:rRNA from 1 species